UACGGAGGGUGCGAGCGUUAUCCGGAUUCACUGGGUUUAAAGGGUGCGUAGGUGGGCAGGUAAGUCAGUGGUGAAAUCUCCGGGCUUAACCCGGAAACUGCCAUUGAUACUAUCAGUCUUGAAUACCGUGGAGGUAAGCGGAAUAUGUCAUGUAGCGGUGAAAUGCUUAGAUAUGACAUAGAACACCAAUUGCGAAGGCAGCUUACUACCCGAAUAAUUGACACUGAGGCACGAAAGCGUGGGGAUCAAACAGG
rnacentral:rRNA from 1 species